AUCCCAAACUGAUGACUCGCCGAACCAUCAACCUGCUGGUCAGUACCCACCGCCUCGGACGACACCUGACUCAUCGCUGCCACCGGCUGUCCUCCAGACGCAUACCCACCUCCAGUCCCCACCCUCCCACCAUAACAAACAGCCAGAGGUGGUGGCGGCGGCGGCAGCUGCGGGGGCUGCUGCGUAGCUGAGUAGCCACCGUUUCCUUUCUCAUUGCUGGGUCCCAUGUAUGCCGAUGACUGAUCCGAUCCAACGACUUCCCGGGCAGGAGGCAUUUGUUGAUAAGCAGGAGCUGGCACUGGCCACCAUAACAAACAGCCAGAGGUGGCGGCGGCGGCGGCAGCUGCGGGGGCUGCUGCGUAGCUGAGUAGCCACCGUUUCCUUUCUCAUUGCUGGGUCCCAUGUAUGCCGAUGACUGAUCCGAUCCAACGACUUCCCGGGCAGGAGGCAUUUGUUGAUAAGCAGGAGCUGGC
rnacentral:lncRNA from 1 species